rnacentral:rRNA from 1 species
CAAACGGGUGCGGAACACGUACGCAACUUUCCCAAAACUGGUGAAUAGCCUUCCGAAAGGGAGAUUAAUACACCGUAAGAUAUAGAGAUGGCAUCACCUUUAUAUUAUAGCUCCGGCGGUUUUGGAUGGGCGUGCGGCUGAUUAGGUAGUUGGCGGGGUAACGGCCCACCAAGCCUGCGAUCAGUAACUGGUGUGAGGGCACGACCAGUCACACGGGCACUGAGACACGGGCCCG